rnacentral:rRNA from 1 species
GGCGGCAGGCCUAACACAUGCAAGUCUAGCGCUGUAGCAAUACAGAGCGGCGCACGGGUGAGUAACACGUGGGAACGUGCCUAUCGGUUCGGAAUAACUCAGGGAAACUUGAGCUAAUACCGGAUACGCCCCCUGGGGGAAAGAUUUAUCGCCGAUAGAGCGGCCCGCGUCCGAUUAGCUAGUUGGUGAGGUAAAAGCUCACCAAGGCGACGAUCGGUAGCUGGUUUGAGAGAACGACCAGCCACACUGGGACUGAGACACGGCCCAGACUCCUACGGGAGGCAGCAGUGGGGAAUCUUGGACAAUGGGGGAAACCCUGAUCCAGCCAUGCCGCGUGAGUGAUGAAGGCCUUAGGGUUGUNAAACUCUUUCACCCACGACGAUAAUGACGGUAGUGGGAGAAGAAGCUCCGGCUAACUUCGUGCCAGCAGCCGCGGUAAUACGAAGGGGGCUAGCGUUGUUCGGAAUUACUGGGCGUNAAGCGCGCGCAGGCGGUUCUUUAAGUC